CAAUCUGAAAUCAGGCUGGGAGAGGAACCGGGCUCUGGAUGUUUUGUUUUCCAUUCUCCUUUCCUGUCUACUGCCAUUCAGGCCUUCACUUCUAUAAAUCUCUCUGUUUUCCUCUAAAAAGCAUGCUUCCUCUGCCCUCUGGUCAGAAUGACUAGGUGGGAGGGUUUUUGCGGGUGUCUUAUGGGACCUCCACCUCUCAGACUGAAGGGCCUGUGGGUCUGUGGGAAGGCUGCUCAGGAGCCCUGGAUUGGGGGUACCCACAGGAAGACCCCCACUUCAGAGGGCUAUAGAGGAUCAAAGUCUGACUGCUUGUGGUGGGCUGGUCCCUCUCUCUCAAUCAAUGGGAUGGGAGUCAACUCUGAGACUGAAUAUGAAGGAAUCAGUACCUCCUGGGCCCAUGGGGGUGAGCUGGAUCUGCACACACAGCGGUGAGCUGAGUCUGGGCCCACAAGGAAAUGUCACUCCUGUGAGGGAAGGAGGUGUCUGUCCUGUUCUGUUUGAAUCCUGUGUGCCUGGCAUAGAAGAGAAUGCUCCACACGUGUUUCGGAAAGAUGGGGAAAUGACGCCUGCUGCUCCACAUCCUCAUGCCCCAGAGACACUUUCAGGAUGAAGAGUUUGAAUGUUUCCCUGAGACCUGCCCUUUCUUCCCCAGUGUCCACACUGCUCUCACAUGUGGGGCUGCCUGUUUUUGCUUGUUUCUGGGGAAAAUUAAAGUCUAAUUUCAGGUAAACGAAUGGCAAAAGGAAGGUUAAUAGUGUGACAAGUAAUGCAAAUCGUCUGAUUUACUUUUGGAAACCCCCCCCUCCCACCACAGAUGCUCUGAAAAGCCAUUUACACAUUUAAGGGUCCCAUAGAGUUUAACUGAAAUUAAAAUGAUGAAGGGAUUUAUGAAGCACAGAUUCCCCUUUCACUUUGCUUUAUUCUUCUAAAACCUUAAAACAAAUGGAAGAAUUCAAGCAUUAAUCACACAAUAAGUGUUCAUCGAGUGAUGAGUUCAUGGGAGAACAUCUGAAGUGGUUCUUUGCUUCAAGACCAAACUUAAUUUAUAGGAGCAACGAUCAGGAAGGGGAACCAACAGAAUCCAUAAAAACUGAGUCCUGUUUCCAGUUUGUUCCUCAACAGGUGAACAUUUGCACCAUUAGCAAAAUUAAACAGAGAUCAAGCCACCAAGGAGGAUCUUGGUUUCCAUUACCCUAAAACGUAAUGGAAAUGACCCUAAAGUCUCCUGAAUCUGUCUCUAAAGGUAGCUUUAUAUUGCCAUAUUAAUUAAUGCUUCUUAUUUUUACUUUCUUUAAUUUCUCCUUUGCAAUCUCAUAAAUGAGCGUUUGUUUUAGGUAUUGGGAAACCUAAAACAGCAAGGUUUUGUUUCUCUGUUCUAAACUGGGCAGAAACCAAGCUCCCUCUAAGGACUCUGCUCCUCUUCCAAGUUGAAUAACCCAGCACACCAGGACUUUCUGCCACCAACAUUGUGUGUUUGGCUUAUAAGUCAUGUUUUUCAUUGCUAUUGUUAAUUUCUAUUUUUGAAUAAUUUUAUAUUUACAGAAAAGGUGCAAAGAUAGUACAGAGUUCCCACAGUGAUGAAAACGAUUUGGAACUAGAUAGAGGUGAUGGUUGCCCAACGUUCUCAAUGUACUCUAUGACACUGCAUUGUACACUUUCAAAUGAUUACUGCUUUUAACAUAUUUGUUUGGUGUCAACUGCCUUACUAAAUUUAUACUCACUUAAAAUAGGUUUUUAGCUGCCAAUCCAUUAUCUACAGCCAAUCCAUUAUCUUCCUAUAAUGCUAAGUUUCCUUUUCACAUUCAGAUCUUCUUUUUUUUCCUCCUUGUAUUACACUGGUUGGAACUCCAGGAUGCCAA
rnacentral:lncRNA from 1 species